rnacentral:rRNA from 1 species
UACGAGGGGGGCUAGUGUUGUUCGGAAUCACUGGGCGUAAAGGGAGCGCAGGCGGGAGCCUAAGUUGGGUGUUUAAUUCCGGGGCCCAACCCCGGGCGUGCACUCAAAACUGGGUUUCUUGAAUAGGGGAGAGGUCGGUGGAAUUGGAGGUGUAGCGGUGGAAUGCGUAGAGAUGUGGAGGAACACCGAUGGCGAAGGCAGCCCCCUGGGCUAACACUGACGCUCAUGCACGAAAGCGUGGGGAGCAAACAGG